rnacentral:lncRNA from 1 species
GUUUCAGGCAGCUGGAAUAAAGAGAGACAUCGGGGGAAAGCCGCGAGAAGGCCAGCGUCCCUGGCUGGGAGCAGAGCUAGCCGAGUAGGGCGCCCGGCUGUCAAACUGGCCGGCGCAGUGCACGCUGGGCCGCCCCGGAGCGGUCGCAGAGCCCGUCGGGAGUCGUAGUCCGGGACGGGCCCGCGGCAUUGUCCGCGACGCAGCUCGGGAUCCGGGUCGGGGUGUCGGCCGGGUUGCUGCCGGGCACCGUCGAGCGUUAGCCACCCAGCAUUGAGCUGCCAGCGGCUGUUCUCCCUAAGCACCCUCGCUCACGUCGCCUCGCCUCGCCUCGCCUGACCGGCCGCAGCCUUGGAUACCAGCCUUAAAUCGAGCCGACUACGGCCCAGCCCCGCCCGCGGCGAGGUGCGCGGGGUUCGGUGCCAGCCGCUCGCCCCUGGCGGGGCCAGCCUCUUGAUGCACCGGGGACGGGCGCCCCCAUCCGACUCUUCGAGGGGCGGCAGGGCCCCAUCUGUGUCUUUCGCUCUCGAGCCCCCAGCUAGAGUUGGCUUCAGCGGAAUACCUACUGUGCGGGAUUAUUCAACAAGCCGAUUGAUCACAUUCUUCAGCUCUAGCAGUGCAAAGGCUUCACUGAAAAAGAACAUUACAAAUUUUUUUUGAAAGAAAUUUGGGGGAAUCCACUGAAGACCUACAUUUCCCGGAAGGUUAACAGCCCCCUUCUCAGUUUUCCUGAUAUAAAUUUAAUUCACAGUUGGGCAGGGCAUGGUGCCUCACACCUAUAAUCCGAGCACUUUGGGAG